rnacentral:rRNA from 1 species
GAUCCUACGGGGCGCAGCAGUGGGGAAUAUUGCGCAAUGGGCGAAAGCCUGACGCAGCGACGCCGCGUGAGCGAAGAAGGUCUUCGGAUCGUAAAGCUCUGUCCUUGAGGAAGAAGGAAGUGACGGUACUCAAGGAGGAAGCCCCGGCUAACUACGUGCCAGCAGCCGCGGUAAUACGGAGGGUGCGAGCGUUAAUCGGAAUUACUGGGCGUAAAGCGCUCGUAGGCGGUAUGUCAAGUCAAGUGUGAAAUCCCCGCGCUCAACGUGGGAACUGUCUUUGAAACUGGCAAACUGGAGUGUGUGAG